rnacentral:rRNA from 1 species
UACAGGGGGUGCAAGCGUUAAUCGGAAUUACUGGGCGUAAAGCGCGCGUAGGCGGUUAUUUAAGUCGGGUGUGAAAGCCCCGGGCUCAACCUGGGAAUUGCAUCCGAUACUGAGUAACUAGAGUAUGAGAGAGGGAGGUAGAAUUCCACGUGUAGCGGUGAAAUGCGUAGAUAUGUGGAGGAAUACCGGUGGCGAAGGCGGCCUCCUGGCUUAAUACUGACGCUGAGGUGCGAAAGCGUGGGGAUCAAACAGG